rnacentral:rRNA from 1 species
UACAGAGGUCCCAAGCGUUAAUCGGAAUUACUGGGCGUAAAGCGUGCGUAGACGGUCAAGUAAGUCGGGUGUGAAAGCCCCGGGCUCAACCUGGGAAUUGCAUUCGAGACUGCGUGGCUAGGGUGCGGAAGAGGGAAGCGGAAUUUCCGGUGUAGCGGUGAAAUGCGUAGAUAUCGGGAGGAACACCUGUGGCGAAAGCGGCUCACUGGACCAUAACUGACGCUGAUGCACGAAAACUGGGGAGCAACGA